UACGGAGGAGGCAAGCGUUAUCCGGAAUUAUUGGGCGUAAAGCGUCCGUAGGUGGUUGGCCAAGUCUGCUGUCAAAGGGUGGGGCUUAACCUCAUAAAGGCAGUGGAAACUGGCGAGCUAGAGUGCGGUAGGGGUAGGGGGAAUUCCCAGUGUAGCGGUGAAAUGCGUAGAGAUUGGGAAGAACAUAGGUGGCGAAAGCGCCCUGCUGGGCCGCAACUGACACUGAGGGACGAAAGCUAGGGGAGCGAAUGGG
rnacentral:rRNA from 1 species